GUGCUUGUUUUGGCAGCACAUACACUAAAACUGGAAUGAUUCAGAGAAAAUUAGCAAGGCCCCUGCACAAGGAUGCACAUUUGUGAAGUGUUCCAUAUUCUU